AAAAGCAUCGGCUACUCCGUGCCAGCAGCGCGGUAAUACGGAGGAUGCAAGCGUUAUCCGGAAUGAUUGGGCGUAAAGCGUCCGUAGGUGGUGAUGUGUGUCUAUUGUCAAAGGCUCUGGCUUAACCAGAGACAGGCAGUAGAAACUGCAGAACUAGAGUGCAUUCGGGGCAGGGGGAAUUCCUGGUGUAGCGGUGAAAUGCGUAGAGUUCAGGAAGAACACCGGUGGCGAAAGCGCCCUGCUAGGCUGUCACUGACACUGAGGGACGAAAGCUAGGGGAGCGAAUGGGAUUAGAUACCCCAGUAGUCCUAGCCGUAAACGAUGGAUACUAGGCGUUGCGUGUAUCGACCCAUGCAGUGCCGUAGCUAACGCGUUAAGUAUCCCGCCUGGGGAGUACGCACGCAAGUGUGAAACUCAAAGGAAUUGACGGGGGCCCGCACAAGCGGUGGAGUAUGUGGUUUAAUUCGAUGCAACGCGAAGAACCUUACCAGGGCUUGACAUGUCCGGAAUCUUCUGGAAACAGAAGAGUGCCUGCGGGAACCGGAACACAGGUGGUGCAUGGCUGUCGUCAGCUCGUGUCGUGAGAUGUUGGGUUAAGUCCCGCAACGAGCGCAACCCUCGUUCUGAGUUGCCAGCAACAAAGUUGGGCACUCUCAGAAGACUGCCGGUGACAAACCGGAGGAAGGUGGGGAUGACGUCAAGUCAGCAUGCCCCUGACGUCCUGGGCUACACACGUACUACAAUGCUUUCGACAAAGGGCAGCGAGACUGCGAAGUUAAGCAAAUCCCAGAAACGAAGGCUCAGUUCAGAUCGCAGGCUGCAACUCGCCUGCGUGAAGGAGGAAUCGCUAGUAAUUGCAGGUCAGCAUACUGCAGUGAAUCCGUUCCCGGGCCUUGUACACACCGCCCGUCACACCAUGGAAGCUGGUCAUGCCCGAAGUCGUUACCCAAACUGGGAACAGAAGGGACGCCGAAGGCAG
rnacentral:rRNA from 1 species